rnacentral:rRNA from 1 species
UACGUAGGGUGCAAGCGUUGCCCGGAUUUAUUGGGCGUAAAGGGCGCGUAGGCGGCUCGGCACGUCCGUUGUGAAAUCGCCCGGCUCAACUGGGCGGGGUCAGCGGAUACGGCCGAGCUUGAGCAAGCUAGGGGGCAAUGGAAUUCCCGGUGUAGUGGUGGAAUGCGCAGAUAUCGGGAGGAACACCCGUGGCGAAGGCGGGACUCUGGGCCGAUACUGACGCUGAGGAGCGAAAGCGUGGGGAGCGAACAGG